rnacentral:rRNA from 1 species
UACGUAGGGGGCGAGCGUUAAUCGGAAUUACUGGGCGUAAAGCGUGCGCAGGCGGCUUACUAAGACAGGUGUGAAAGCCCCGAGCUUAACUUGGGAAUGGCGCUUGUGACUGGUAGGCUGGAGUGUGGCAGAGGGAGGUGGAAUUCCACGUGUAGCAGUGAAAUGCGUAGAGAUGUGGAGGAACACCGAUGGCGAAGGCAGCCUCCUGGGCCAGCACUGACGCUCAUGCACGAAAGCGUGGGGAGCAAACAGG